rnacentral:lncRNA from 1 species
GUAUAGGUGCAGUGAUCUGUGAGCUGCUCUGACAGCUGGUGCUUAAAGUUAGUGAGGGAGAUAUAAGUCUCCAGCUUCAGUGCUUUUUGCAAUUCGUUCCAGUCAUUGGCAGCAGAGAACUGGAAGUAAAGGCGGCCAAAGGAGGAAUUGGCUUUGGGGUACCUAGUGUAAUAUAUCUGCUGGAGUGCGUACUACAGUGCAUGGAUUCUAAAUGUGUUGGCCCUUCCUUGGCGCUCGCUCCACACAGCCUUGUGGAGUUGUUAUUCACACACGGGAGCAGAUGUUGUGAAGAGAAAACAGCGUGACAAGAUUGUGAUCGAUGCAUACUGCCCCAUCAAAAUCGCUGCAUAAUUUGGCGGAUGGCAUCAGGAUAACAACCCGCAUUAGCUGGAGACAGCUGUCGCCAUGGCGCCUGGCAGCAGAGUCCUAAAGUUGAGACAAUAUCCACAUCUGGAGAGCACACCAGGAAGACUUUGUCGUGUCUGUGACUAUCAUUAAAUGUGAAGACUGUAUAUUAUCAAAUCAAUUCUCCGUGUGUAAUUUAAUUACGCGAUUAAACUAAUCAUGUAACUUUAAUUAACUUGGAAGUCGGGGCACCACAAUGAUUUUUUUUUAUAGUGUCAAUUUCC